rnacentral:rRNA from 1 species
UACAGAGGGUGCGAGCGUUGUUCGGAAUUAUUGGGCGUAAAGGGAGUGUAGGCGGUUUGACAAGUCUUCUGUGAAAUCUACGGGCUUAGCCUGUAACGUGCAGAGGAAACUGUCAGGCUUGAGUGUCGGAGAGGAUAGGGGAAUUCCCGGUGUAGAGGUGAAAUGCGUAGAGCUCGGGAAGAACAUCGGUGGCGAAAGCGCUCUACUGGACUGCAACUGACACUCAGGGACGAAAGCUAGGGGAGCGAAUGGG